UUUUCAACGCAUGCUAACCCGUUCAAUAGGUGUAGUAUCUGUUCUUUUCAGUUUAAUCUCUGAAAGCGCCACACUGUGGUGCAAUCGUGAUUAUUCUAAUUUUUGCCACCUGGUAGUGGUCCUCUGUGCUUGCGCAUGAUCACUUCCACCGUGUCCCUGGUAUUACACUGCCUCCAGGUGACGCGAACCUCU
rfam:Eutypa lata TCREL1 unplaced genomic scaffold EL1_03_scaffold_1190, whole genome shotgun sequence.